CCUACGGGUGGCAGCAGUGGGGAAUAUUGCACAAUGGGCGGAACCCUGAACCAGCGACGCCGCGUGGGUGAAGGAGCGUUUCCGCGCGUAAAGCCCUAUCGGCAGGGAAGAAGGAGGACGGUACCUGACUAAGAAGCACCGGCUAACUACGUGCCAGCAGCCGCGGUAAUACGGAGGGGGCCAGCGUUAUCCGGAUGUACUGGGUGUAAAGGGGGCGCAGACGGCAGCGCAAGCCAGGAGUGAAAGCCCGGGGCCCAACCCCGGGACUGCUGUUGGAACUGCGCGGAUGGAGUGGAGGAGGGGCAGGCGGAAUUCGUGGUGUAGCGGUGAAAUGCGUAGAUAUCAGGAGGAACACCGGUGGCGAAGGCGGCCUGCUGGACUGCGACUGACGUUGAGGCCCGAAAGCGUGGGGAGCAAACAGGAUUAGAUACCCGUGUAGUC
rnacentral:rRNA from 1 species